GACGAACGCUGGCGGCGUGCCUAAUACAUGCAAGUAGAACGCUGAAGGAGGAGCUUGCUCUUCUGGAUGAGUUGCGAACGGGUGAGUAACGCGUAGGUAACCUGCCUGGUAGCGGGGGAUAACUAUUGGAAACGAUAGCUAAUACCGCAUAAUAGUAGAUGUUGCAUGACAUUUGCUUAAAAGGUGCAAUUGCAUCACUACCAGAUGGACCUGCGUUGUAUUAGCUAGUUGGUGAGGUAACGGCUCACCAAGGCAACGAUACAUAGCCGACCUGAGAGGGUGAUCGGCCACACUGGGACUGAGACACGGCCCAGACUCCUACGGGAGGCAGCAGUAGGGAAUCUUCGGCAAUGGACGGAAGUCUGACCGAGCAACGCCGCGUGAGUGAAGAAGGUUUUCGGAUCGUAAAGCUCUGUUGUAAGAGAAGAACGAGUGUGAGAGUGGAAAGUUCACACUGUG
rnacentral:rRNA from 1 species